CUUCCUUUGGGGAGCUUUUCAUUGUGAGCCUAAAUCUUCUCUUAUAGGUUUAGAGGUUUGAAGGACUUCAAUUGUGUGACAAAACUCUGGUGGCAGAGGUGCCCAAUCUUCAGCAGUUGCAUCAGCAAAAAGCAUGAGUCAGAAGCUGAUGUUGGUGGUACAGCAGAAGAGGCUGAACCUUCCCACCACUAUUUCCUUCCGUAUUGUUGGCAUGUGACAGAUGGCAGCAUAGGCACAGUCUGUCAAAAUGAAAGUGAAGUGUGGAUGAAGCAAAGGUGUCACUGAAUUCCUCUAUGCAGAAAAAAUGGCACCUACUGACAUUCAUUGAUGCUUGCUGAACAUUGAUGGAGACCAAACAGUGGAUGUGAGCACACAGUGGGGCAGUGGGUGGUGUUUCAGCAGUGGCGACAGUAACGUAAAAGACGAGCCUUGUUCCAGAUGGCUGUGCACAGCUGUUACACCACUAAAUGAAGAACAUCUCAAUCACCACGUGAACUGGUGGAUUUCGACCAGAGUAUUGUGUACAGAACUGAACAUCAUCUUAAAUGUGUUGGAAACAAUAGUGACAAUAUUGGAAUACUGUCAAGCUUGCAGCAGGUGGGUAUCAUGAAUGCUCACACUGGAACAGAAAGAACACUAUGCAAGUUUGUCAGGACCUACUGAACCAAUACAAGGCUGAAGGUGACAGUUUCCUGGAUCACAUCAUUACUAGUGACAAGCUGUGGUGCUACCACUAUGAGCUGAUGUCAAAAUUGCAAUCCACGGAGUGUUGUGAAUUCCUCACUGAAGAAAAGGUGCGCUCUGCAGCCUUCAGCAUUUAAAGUGAUGUGCACUGUCUUUUGAGACAGAAAAGGGACUGGAGAAGAGGAGGC